AAAUCUAUACAACUUUCAGCAACGGAUCUCUUGGCUCUCGCAUCGAUGAAGAACGCAGCGAAAUGCGAUAAGUAAUGUGAAUUGCAGAAUUCAGUGAAUCAUCGAAUCUUUGAACGCACCUUGCGCUCCUUGGUAUUCCGAGGAGCAUGCCUGUUUGAGUGU
rnacentral:rRNA from 1 species